rnacentral:rRNA from 1 species
AUUGGACGCUGGCGGCAGGCCUAACACAUGCAAGUCGAGCGGAUGACGGGAGCUUGCUCCUGGAUUCAGCGGCGGACGGGUGAGUAAUGCCUAGGAAUCUGCCUGGUAGUGGGGGACAACGUUUCGAAAGGAACGCUAAAACCGCAUACGUCCUACGGGAGAAAGCAGGGGACCUUCGGGCCUUGCGCUAUCAGAUGAGCCUAGGUCGGAUUAGCUAGGUGGUGAGGUAAUGGCUCACCAAGGCGACGAUCCGUAACUGGUCUGAGAGGAUGAUCAGUCACACUGGAACUGACACACGGUCCAGACUCCUACGGGAGGCAGCAGUGGGGAAUAUUGGACAAUGGGCGAAAGCCUGAUCCAGCCAUGCCGCGUGUGUGAAGAAGGUCUUCGGAUUGUAAAGCACUUUAAGUUGGGAGGAAGGGCAGUAAGCGAAUACCUUGCUGUUUUGACGUUACCGACAGAAUAAGCACCGGCUAACUCUGUGCCAGCAGCCGCGGUAAAAC